rnacentral:tRNA from 1 species
UAACUUUUAGUGUAAAAGCACGAAAAAUUUUGAUUUUUUAGGUGAUAAAAAUUAUUUAUCAAAGUUAU